rnacentral:rRNA from 1 species
UUAGUAACGGCGAGCGAACAGGGAAAAGCCCAGCACUGAAUCGCGCGGCCCAUUGGGACGCUGCGAAAUGUAGUGUUUGGGAGGGUCCACUAUUUCGUGAUUUGGUAACGCGUCCAAGUCCUUCUUGAACGGGGCCAUUUACCCAUAGAGGGUGCCAGGCCCGUAGUGACCGUUGCCAUUUGCGAAAGGAUCUCUCCUUAGAGUCGGGUUGCUUGAGAGUGCAGCCCUAAGUGGGUGGUAAACUCCAUCUAAGGCUAAAUAUAACCACGAGACCGAUAGCGAACAAGUACCGUGAGGGAAAGUUGAAAAGAACUUUGAAGAGAGAGUUCAAUAGUACGUGAAACCGUUUAGGGGUAAACCUGAGAAACCCGAAAGUUCGAACGAGGAGAUUCAGUGUGUCUCGGUGGGUGCGCGAGUGCCGUACGUAGAGACGGUUGUCGUUCGCGAUGAUCGCUGCGUAUGUUGCGCCGCUGCCUGCCGAACGCGUGCACUUCUCCUCCAGUAGGUCGUCACGACCCGUUGGGUGUCGGUCUAAGGCUUGCAGUGGAGCCUGUUCGUCUUUUUUGACGUUCGGACCUGUGAUGUCCCGGCCGACUGCUCGACGGUACGAUUAAGGCGCAGAGCCGCGACUUGCUCGCGUUCGGCCCGAUGCAAGCGUGGCCGGUUAUUCGUUCGUCGGACUUUGUGCCGACCUCGGAGCCGGUCAGCUGUUUUGUGUCGGUGACCCCGGACAGACUCUUGUCACGCCAGUCAGUGACGCUAUAGCUUUGGGUAGUUUCAGGACCCGUCUUGAAACACGGACCAAGGAGUCUAGCAUGUGCGCAAGUCAUUGGGACUAUCGAAUCCUAAAGGCGAAAUGAAAGUGAAGGCAGAGCCUGGCUCGGCCGAGGGAAGAUGGGUGGCUUUGAUGUCGCCUCGCACUCCCGGGGCGUCUCGUUCUCAUUGCGAGAAGAGGCGCACCUAGAGCGUACAUGCUGGGACCCGAAAGAUGGUGAACUAUGCCUGGUCAGGAC